GAUGAACGCUGGCGGCGUGCCUAAUACAUGCAAGUCGAGCGAAUGGAUUAAGAGCUUGCUCUUAUGAAGUUAGCGGCGGACGGGUAAGUAACACGUGGAUAACCUGCCCAUAAGACUGGGAUAACUCCGGGAAACCGGGGCUAAUACCGGAUAACAUUUUGAACCGCAUGGUUCGAAAUUGAAAGGCGGCUUCGGCUGUCACUUAUGGAUGGACCCGCGUCGCAUUAGCUAGUUGGUGAGGUAACGGCUCACCAAGGCAACGAUGCGUAGCCGACCUGAGAGGGUGAUCGGCCACACUGGGACUGAGACACGGCCCAGACUCCUACGGGAGGCAGCAGUAGGGAAUCUUCCGCAAUGGACGAAAGUCUGACGGAGCAACGCCGCGUGAGUGAUGAAGGCUUUCGGGUCGUAAAACUCUGUUGUUAGGGAAGAACAAGUGCUAGUUGAAUAAGCUGACACCUUGACGGUACCUAACCAGAAAGCCACGGCUAACUACGUGCCAGCCGCCGCAGUAA
rnacentral:rRNA from 1 species